rnacentral:rRNA from 1 species
AGUCGACGAGGUCCAUCCAGUGGCACACUGGGGACGACCUAGUGGCGAACGGGUGAGUAACACGUGAGAAACUUGCCCCGGAGACCGGGAUAACCCUCCGAAAGGAGAGCUAAUACCGGAUCUGCUCACCGAACCGCAUGGUUUGGUGAGGAAAUGGACUCCGCUCCGGGAGAGUCUCGCGGCCUAUCAGCUAGUUGGCGGGGUAACGGCCCACCAAGGCAUCGACGGGUAGCUGGUCUGAGAGGACGAUCAGCCACACUGGGACUGAGACACGGCCCAGACUCCUACGGGAGGCAGCAGUGGGGAAUCUUGCACAAUGGGCGAAAGCCUGACGCAGCAACGCCGCGUGCGGGAUGACGGCCCUCGGGUUGUAAACCGCUUUCAGUGGGGACGAAUCAAGACGGUACCCACAGAAGAAGGUCCGGCCAACUACGUGCCAGCAGCCGCGGUAACACGUAGGGACCAAGCGUUGUCCGGAUUCAUUGGGCGUAAAGAGCUCGUAGGCGGUUCGAUAAGUCGGGUGUGAAACCUCCAGGCUCAACCUGGAGACGCCACCUGAUACUGUCGUGACUAGAGUCCAGUAGGGGAGCGUGGAAUUCCUGGUGUAGCGGUGAAAUGCGCAGAUAUCAGAGGAACACCAGCGGCGAAAGCGGCGCUCUGGGCUGGAACUGACGCUGAGGAGCGAAAGCGUGGGGAGCGAACAGGAUUAGAUACCCUGGUAGUCCACGCCGUAAACGUUGGGUACUAGGUGUGGGGGUCUUAUCAACGGAAUUCCGUGCCGGCGCUACGCAUUAAGUACCCCGCCUUGGGGGAGUACGGG